rnacentral:rRNA from 1 species
AACGAACGCUGGCGGCAUGCCUAACACAUGCAAGUCGAACGGGAUCCGGACUUCGGUCCGGUGAGAGUGGCGGACGGGUGAGUAACACGUGGGAACCUGCCUUUUGGUUCGGGAUAACCGCGGGAAACUGCGGCUAAUACCGGAUGCUCCCGAGAGGGAAAAGAUUUAUCGCCAGAAGAGGGGCCCGCGUCCGAUUAGGUAGUUGGUGGGGUAAUGGCCUACCAAGCCGACGAUCGGUAGCUGGUCUGAGAGGAUGAUCAGCCACACUGGGACUGAGAUACGGCCCAGACUCCUACGGGAGGCAGCAGUGGGGAAUAUUGGACAAUGGGGGCAACCCUGAUCCAGCAAUGCCGCGUGAGUGAUGAAGGCCUUAGGGUUGUAAAGCUCUUUUGCCAGGGAAGAUAAUGACGGUACCCCGGAGAAGAAGCCCCCGGGCUAACUCCGUGCCAGCAGCCGCGGUAAU